AGUGAACGCUGGCGGUAGGCCUAACACAUGCAAGUCGAACGGCAGCACAGUAAGAGCUUGCUCUUACGGGUGGCGAGUGGCGGACGAGUGAGGAAUACAUCGGAAUCUACUUUUUCGUGGGGGAUAACGUAGGGAAACUUACGCUAAUACCGCAUACGACCUACGGGUGAAAGCAGGGGAUCUUCGGACCUUGCGCGAUUGAAUGAGCCGAUGUCGGAUUAGCUAGUUGGCGGGGUAAAGGCCCACCAAGGCGACGAUCCGUAGCUGGUCUGAGAGGAUGAUCAGCCACACUGGAACUGAGACACGGUCCAGACUCCUACGGGAGGCAGCAGUGGGGAAUAUUGGACAAUGGGCGCAAGCCUGAUCCAGCCAUACCGCGUGGGUGAAGAAGGCCUUCGGGUUGUAAAGCCCUUUUGUUGGGAAAGAAAAGCAGCAGGUUAACACCCCGCUGUUCUGACGGUACCCAAAGAAUAAGCACCGGCUAACUUCGUG
rnacentral:rRNA from 1 species